UUGAUCUAUUCUUGCAGGUUGUGAUCGUCCGUCGUUUGUUCGUUUACGAUUCCGUCCGCGUGCCAUUUUCUAAUGGAAUAUUUUCUAAAGGAAUAAAUAAAAUAAAAUUAUUCUGCUUGAAAAAAAAAUGAAAGUAUAAAACAUUCAUCUUCAGAAUUGAAAUUUUCUGUUUCAUCUUCGACAUAACUCUCACUCUCUUCAUGUAAAGUGGGUUCAGGUUUGAAUGAAACAACAUCAAACGAGCCAACCACAUUUAGAGAUACAUUAUCAAUGUUAUUAUCAUCAACAAGAUUUAAAGGGAACUCAUUAAAGUCAUCUUGAUAUGUAUCUCCCUCUUCCUCUGGAAUGUCAAAACGAUCUCUAGCUUUUGUUCGGAUGACAAAUUGCCAAUCUUUAUUCUUUUGGGAGACAUUUGGUGCGUAGAAAACUUGCUCUGCUUGUUGAGAUAGAACAAAGGGUUCAUAUGCUCUAAGUUUAGUAUGUAUGUUAAUCGAUACAUUUUUCGAACGGUCAAUUUUCAUUCCUUUGUGGAUGUCGUACCAAUCACAUUUGAACAUAACUACUCGAGUCAUAUCUCCAAGGAAAUCCAAUUCGAUAAUAUCAAGAAGAACUCCAUAGUAGUUAUUUUCCUUUAGACCUUCGUAUGCACUUCCCUUUAUCAUCACUCCAGAGUUUUGAGUUUUUUUUAAAAUAUCCUCACUCUUUAUGUGAAAUCUAAAUCCAUUGAUAAUGUAACUCUUGUAGCACGUCACUUCUCGAUUUGGGCCUUUUGAGAGAACACGCAAACGCUCAUCUUCUUCUAUCGGUUUCAAGCGAUUUUUGAACCAACCAUAGAAUAAAGAAUCUGUUUUUUGAUGAAGUUCCUCAUCGCUAAGGUUCACAUAUUGUUCCUCAAACUCCCUUAAAUAUGGUACGAUUUCAUCACAAUUAAGUAGUAGAUAUGUAAUUGAAGCAAGGUACUCUUUGUCAUCUAAGUAUCGUUUUUUACCACCACCAAGAGCACAACCAGGUUGUGAAAAUAUGGAUAAACGACCAACCGGUUCAACUAUACCUCCAUCAAAGUUUCAAGAUUUUUUAUUAUAUUUUGUUUGAAAGUUAUCAUCGAAAUACAUUGAAGUAAAGUUCCCUAUUUCUUCAGCAAUAUAUGCUUCAGCAAUGGACCCUUAAACGAAAGCCUUGUUUCGUACUUUUUUCUUUAAAAAAUACAUAAACCUGAAGAUAGAUAAUCUCAUUUAAAGUUUUAUAAUAAACAUUAUUUAGAAAAUUUAUUUUGUAUGAUUUACCUCUCAUACGGGUACAUCCAUCUGUGUUGUACGGGUCUACCGACUUGUGCCUCAUACGGAAGAUGUAUCAACAUAUGCUCCAUUGAAUCAAAAAAAGGAGGAAAAAUCUUCUCUAAUCUACACAUAGUCUCGACAAUGGAUUUUCCAAGUGCUCUCAUUUCAGAUUCUUUCAAAGUAGGGGAACAAAUUUUACUAAAGAAUUGGCUAACUUCUGUUAAUACUUCAUUAAUUUCUUUAGCUAGGUAACAAAUCGAUGAAAGCAAUUGGUAAUAAUCUUUGCAUGAACACAUGACAGUCAUGAAACUUCAUACCUUAGAAUUUGCAAUCUUCGACGCUUGCACAUCUAGAUAUAUUUGAAACAUAACCAUCAGGGAAACGCAAUGUCUUCACCCAUUCACAAACUUUCUUGAUUUGAUCCUUCUCAAGAGCAUAAGAGGCCUUAGGAAUAAAUAUUUUGUCGUCACAAAUUUGUGGGUGCAAGCUAUGUCUAAUACGCAUAUCUUGAAGGUCUUUCCGAGCAUUUAAAUGGUCCUUGGUCUUGCCUUUGACAUUCAUAACUGUAUUGAAAAUGUUAUCAAAAACAUUUUUCUCAACAUGCAUGACAUUCACAUUAUGACGUAUUAAUAAUGAACUCCAAUAAGGUAAUUCAAAAAAAAUACUUCUCUUUGUCCAAUUAUGUGUUUUCCCGAAAUUGGAUUCUUUUACCUUGUGCGACAAUCCAAAAAUCACUUCAUCCGGAGAAAGGAUGUGAGAUUCUAAUUCAUAUCCUGUAAGACGUUCAAUCGUAACAUUUUUUUCAAUCCUUCUACUAAAUUUAUCCUUCUGUCGCCGAUAUUGAUGAUUUGCCGAAAGAAAUUGACGAUGACAAUCAAAAAAACAUAUCUUUCUACUAUUUUUGAGAUAAAAUGCUUUGUUGUUUCUCAUACAAUAUGGACAUGCUAAUUUUCCAUGAGUACUCCAACCGGACAACAUUGCAUAAGCUGGGAAGUCUGAAAUAGUCCACAAAAGUGCCGCUUUCAUUAAGAAAUUUUGUUUUUUAAAUGCAUCGUAUGUCUCGAUCCCGUCAUUCCAUAAAAUUUUCAAUUCAUCAAUCAAAGGGGAUAGAUAAAUGUCAAUUUCUUUCUUUGGACUGUGAGGAUCGGGGAUCAAAAUAGUCAAGAACAUGAAUGGUUGUGUGUUGCAUAUCCACGGUGGAAGGUUGUAUGGGGUAACGAUAACUGACCAACAUGAGUACGGCACGCUCGAAUGACCAAAUGGAUUAAAUCCAUUAGUGGACAAACCACGUCUCACAUUUCGAAUAUCUGCGGCAAAACUUUCGUGAGUAUGAUCAAAAUAUUUCCAAGCUUCACCAUCGGCUGGAUGUCUAACUUCAUUAUCGAUAUCUUUCCGACAUUGACUGUGCCAAAUCAUUUCCUUUGCAGUAUUUGAACAGUGGUAUAACCGUUGAAGUCGGGGUAUCAAAGGAAAGUAUCUUAAAAUUUUAAAUGGUAUUUUUUGACCAGUAGAAGUUAUUGUCUUGUACCUAGGGUGUCUGCAUGUCGGACACUCAGUUAUGUUUUGAUGGUCCUUGCGAUAUAUAUAAGAUGCAGUUAUUCUGACAUGCAUCUAUUUUUUCAUAUUUCAUCCCAAGUUUAUUCAAUUUUUGCUUUAUUUUAUAAUACGAAUUUGGAAGAUUAUUCACUUCUGGUAAGGAUGAACCCCAUAAUUCCAAAAUUGUAUCAAUGGUAACUUCAUGUAUUCCAUAUGUUGAUUUGAUGCACAUAAUUUUUGACAACACCUCUAGAGUUUUAACUUUACAUCCAUCAUACAAUUUCUGAUUUGCACUCUCUAACAAAUUGUAAAUAUUUUGGGCAUCAACAUUGGGUAAUUCAGUACGAUGGUCAUCGAUAACGAAGGGUCUACUUGCAUCAUGAACCAUAUUGACUAUUGGAUUGUUACUACUAGAUCCAACUUCAAAGGUAGUAUGGCCGUAUUCUUCGAAAAUUUCUAUCCGUGUUUUUUUUCUUGAGCUAUCGAUUUCACCAUGUUGAUGCCAAAUAGAAUAAUCAGACAUGAACCCGUUUUUGUAAAGGUGAAUACCCACUUCAUCUAUCGAAAAAUAAAAUGAACAACAAGUAAAGCAAGGGCACUUUAUUCUUUCACAUCCAAGUGUUUCUCUUGCAAAUUUCAAGAAAUGAGGGACGCCAUUGCCAAAUUCCACCGUUAGAUGACCCUUUGAAUCUUGCCGGUUAUACAUCCAAGUUCGAUCAUCAUCGGUCAUUCUAAGAAUUUUAAACCGAUACAAUUAGGUAACCGUUACAUUGGAUAUCGUAUUUUCAUUAUAAGGAAAAAAGCCUGAUUUUAGUUAAUAUAGAGAUGAGUCUGAUUUUAGUUAAUUAUAAAGAGAAAAAUCCUUAUAAUUCAAUUUCAAUUAUAAGGAGACAAACUAAAAAUAUAUAUUUUCAAUUUCAAGUGUCAUUAAACUUUAAAAACUGAUUGUAAUUCAUUUAUAAGAAAUCAUUUUAUUUUUCGCUUCAUUUAUAAGAAAUCAUUUAUAGAUCCCAAUAUAAGAAAUCAUUUAUAAGAAGUCAUAUAAGAAAUCAUUUAUAAGAAAUCAUUUUAUUGUAAAUCAUUUAUAAGAAAUCAUUUAAAAACUGAUUGGUUCUAUAGAUCCCAAUAUAUUACAGCUAGGGCUGAGGGAUUCGGUGAGAUGGUGAUCAACGUUGAUUUUGAAUAUAUUAAAGCAAACCGGAGGGGGAAGCUUUAAGUGAAAGCAAGGCACACAACUCACACACAACGUGUGAUCAUUACUUGGGCAUGUGCCAUAGUGGCAGCCAUCAAAACAGCAUCAAAAUCAGGAACCUGAACAUAAGUAUUUUGGGUUCAAAUCUAUCUAAAAUCCCAAUAUACCAUAUGCUCAUAAAUUAAUCGAUUGUUUUGCAUUUCAGAGGAUGAGAUUAUCUGAUCAUGCCAUCAUAAGAUUCAAGAAUUAAAUUAUAUUAAAUAAUAUAAUCACUUUCAUGAUUCCAAAAAGAGAAUGAAAAUUGUCUCUCAAUCUUUAGGAGUUCCAGAUGCUGCUGCUUUCAAUUCAAUUGAUUCAUCCCUUAAUGACAACUGUUUUUUGAAUAAAUGGCCAUCUGCCCCAAAGAUUCAGAGGUUGCGAACAUACACAAAGGUUUGCGACUGUGUUUUUAACUGUGUUGCUACCAAGUUUUUUUAUUUUUAAAUUCAAGAUGUGUUUUUAGGUAUAUAAGCGGGGAGCUGUUGGGAGGUCGAUAGAUAUAUCUCGAUACUCUGGCUACAAUGAGCUGAAACAAGAUCUCAGUCGGAUGUUCAGCAUCAAAAGGGGGGCAACAUAACCACAUUCCUUUAAUAAAUAAAGCAGAACAAAGAAUAAGCAAACGUAAACAGAGGACCAGUGGUUACCUGUUAUUUCCCUUGACCGAUCUUUGUCUUUAUCUUCCUCCCAACCAGAACCGGAGUUUUGCUUGCGAAGUUGCAGAGACGGUUGUCGCUCUGACCUGGAAGUCUGACCUGGAAGUUGUCGGAAUGGACAGAAACGCUCUCGCCGGUUGUCGCUGGUCGCCGCUCGCCGAUUGUCAGAAGUUGAAAUCGCCACUGGUCAGAAAUGAGAAACGGGAGUGGUAGAAAAACU
rnacentral:lncRNA from 1 species